rnacentral:rRNA from 1 species
UUGAGAGUUUGAUCCUGGCUCAGGAUGAACGUUGGCGGCGUGCCUUAAGCAUGCAAAUCGAGCGAGAUGUACCGCAAGGUACGUCUAGCGGUGGACGGGUGAGUAAUGCGUGGGAAUCUACCUCGAAGUUGGACAUAGCCCCGCGAAAGCGGGGGUAAUUUCCAAUGUGAAUGUAAAUUUAAAGAUGCAAAUCGCUUCGAGAUGAGCCUGCGUCCUAUCAGCUAGUUGGUGGGGUAAUAGCCUACCAAGGCGACGACGGGUAGCUGGUCUGAGAGGAUGGUCAGCCACAAUGGAACUGCGACACGGUCCAUACACCUACGGGUGGCAGCAACUAGGAAUAUUGGGCAAUGGGCGAAAGCCUGACCCAGCGACGCCGCGUGGAGGAUUGAAGGCCCUCGGGUUGUAAACUCCUUUUGUCUGGGAAGAUUAUGACGGUACCAGAAGAAUAAGCACCUGCUAACUACGUGCCAGAAGCCUCGGUAAUACGUAGGGUGCAAACGUUAUCCGGAAUCAUUGGGCGUAAAGAGUUGCGUAGGCGUCCUGUGAAGUCCUCGUUGAAAUCCUAAGGCUCAACUUUAGGUUUGGCGAGGAAACUCAUGGGAUUGAUGGUAUGAGGGGGUGUUGGAACCGAUUGUGGAGCGGUGAAAUGCGUUGAUCCAAUCGGGAACACCGAAGGCGUAGGCAGACACCUAGCAUAUCCAUGACGCUUAGGCACGAAAGCUUGGGGAGCGAAGCAGAUUAGAGACCUGCGUAGUCCAAGCUGUAAACGAUGUCCGCUAGUUAUCCGUUCAUGAUUUAUCGUGAGUGGGUGACGAAGCUAACGCGUUAAGCGGAUCGCCUGGGGAGUACGAACGCAAGUUUAAAACUCAAAGGAAUUGACGGGGAGGCGCACAAGCAGUGGAGCGUGUGGUUUAAUUCGAUUCCAAGCGAAGAACCUCACCAGGACUUGACAUGUAGCUGCAAGCUCCGGAAACGGAGUCGCUUUUGAAGGUGCUACACAGAUGCUGCAUGGCUGUCGUCAGCUCGUGGCGUGAGCUGUUUCCUUAAGUGGAUCAACGAGCGCAACCCCCACCGUAUGUUAAAUUGUUCAUACGGAACUGCCCCGCAUUUGCGGGGAGGAAGGCGGGGAUGACGUCAAGUCAGCACGGCUCUUACGUCCUGGGCUACACACACCCUACAAUGGCGAAAAACAACGAGUUGCAAGCCGGUAACGGCAAGCUAAUCUCUCAAAUUUCGCCCCAGUUCAGAUCGAGGUCUGAAAUUCGACCUCGUGAAGGAGGAAUUGCUAGUAAUCGCGAAUCAGCAGGUCGCGGUGAAUACGUUCUCGCCUCUUGUACAAAUUUCUUAACCACGAUCACCGCCCGUCAAGGCAGCAAAGUUGGGGGCGCCCGAACCUCGUCGCAAGGCGGGGGAAGGUGAAACCAGCGAUGAAGCUUAAGUCGAGUCCAUGCCCUCAGUAAUGAGUGGAGAAACAUGAACAAGGUAUCCCUAGCCGAAGCUGGGGAUGGAUCACCUCCUU